AGUAACGCGUGAGGAACCUGCCUCAAAGAGGGGGACAACAGUUGGAAACGACUGCUAAUACCGCAUAAGCCCACGGCUCGGCAUCGAGCAGAGGGAAAAGGAGCAAUCCGCUUUGAGAUGGCCUCGCGUCCGAUUAGCUAGUUGGUGAGGUAAUGGCCCACCAAGGCGACGAUCGGUAGCCGGACUGAGAGGUUGAACAGCCACAUUGGGACUGAGACACGGCCCAG
rnacentral:rRNA from 1 species